AUUGUGGCUCAGUGGCAGAACGCUUGCCUGGCAUGUAUGAGGCACUGGGUUCGAUCCUCAGCACCAUA
rnacentral:tRNA from 1 species